rnacentral:rRNA from 1 species
UCCAGACUCCUACGGGAGGCAGCAGUGAGGAAUAUUGGUCAAUGGUCGGGAGACUGAACCAGCCAAGCCGCGUGAGGGAGGAAGGUACAGAGUAUCGUAAACCUCUUUUGUCAGGGGACAAAGGCGGGGACGUGUCCCCGGAUGAGUGUACCUGAAGAAAAAGAAUCGGCUAACUCCGUGCCAGCAGCCGCGGUAAUACGGAGGAUGCGAGCGUUAUCCGGAUUUAUUGGGUUUAAAGGGUGCGUAGGCGGAAUGUUAAGUCAGCGUUCAAAUGUCGUUGCUCAACACCGGCCUGCCGUUGAAACUGGUCUUCUUGAGUGAGCUAGAAGUAUGCGGAAU